AUACGUAGGGUGCGAGCGUUAAUCGGAAUUACUGGGCGUAAAGCGUGCGCAGGCGGCUUUAUAAGCCAGAUGUGAAAUCCCCGGGCUCAACCUGGGAACUGCAUUUGGAACUGUAAGGCUAGAGUACGGCAGAGGGGGGUAGAGUUCCACGUGUAGCAGUGAAAUGCGUAGAUAUGUGGAGGAAUACCGAUGGCGAAGGCAGCCCCCUGGGUCGAUACUGACGCUCAUGCACGAAAGCGUGGGGAGCAAACAGGAUUAGAAACCCCAGUAGUCC
rnacentral:rRNA from 1 species